rnacentral:other from 1 species
CAACUCCUGCGGUGUUCGUGAUGGGUCUUUAUUAAACCCACAACGCUGAAAAGGGACGCCGGAUAAACUCCCGCCGUGGAAUGCAGGCCUCCCGACCCCUCAAAAGGCCGGAAGUUGGAAGCAUAGAAGCGUCGGGGAGGCGACCCACCUGCCAUUACGUGCAGGUUUGAGCGAGGCUCACACGGCAUCGGCGGGAGUUAU